rnacentral:lncRNA from 1 species
CAACAAACUCCAUUAAUGAUUAUUAAUUAUCCAUUAACCCUACCGUGCUAAUGAAAACCCGUAUUGUAAAGAUGAAAGCUGACCAGUGUGCAGUCUUUUCUGUCAUGUUCUGCGUUUUGUACUAUGUGUGUGAUCUGUCUUCAGUAUGCAAAUUCAAAAGACCACUAAGAGAGAUACAAGUGGUGGAUUUCAGAGAACUUCCUGAACCAUUGAAAAGCAGGAGAAAGUACGCUUCUGUAAUCCUGUCACAUCUGUUCUAAAGGAUUCCAGGGACUCUGACCUGCGACUCAAGAAGAGAGAGAGGAAUGUAAGAGAAGACAGUCACUAUGUUGAAGAGAAGUUUAGAGGACUGCCCAGAGUAAAGAAAUCCCCUUCCAAGUGUUUCUCCUGCAGCCUUGGCAAAAAUAUACACAUCAGGGAUACAGACUUCUUCAAUGACUUGUUUACUUGGAAGAAUGUUUAAGCCAAGCACAGUGGUACACACCUCUAAUCCCAGCACUUGGGAAGCUGAGACAGUAGGAUCACUGCGAUUUUGAGGCCAGCCUGGGCUACAUAGUGAUUUCAAGGCCAGCCUGUACUACAUUGUGAAACCUGUUUUAAAAAAGAAUGUUUAGUUUCUAAGUGUUUGGAAAUUUUCCUGUUAUCUUUCUAUUAUUGAUUUGUAGUUUAAUUCCAGUGUGGUCAGAGAACAUAUUCCAUAUGAUUUCAAUUUGUUCAGGUUUGUUUUAUGGUCUAUCAUUUUUCUUGAUAUCCAUCUAUCUUGGUGUAUCAAAUUCCAUGGGCACUUGAAAAGAAUAAGUAGUGUGUUGUCAGAGUGUUUAUAAAUGUUGAUUAGACCUUGUUGUUUGACAGCAUUGUUAGUUCUUCAUAUCUUUGCUGAUUUCCUACCUCCUUGUUGUAAACACUAUUGAGAGAAAAGUAUAGUGUUCUCAAAUUUGAUUGUGGACUUGCCUAUAUCUCGUUCCAAUUCUUUUUUUCUCCCCAUCAUAUAUGUUGCAGCUCUUUUUUGG